CGGCCGUAGCGCAGCCCGCGCCCGGCGGCGGCGGCGGCGGAGCGAGCGCGCACACGUGACGCGGCGCUCGGUGCUUCUACACUGCCGCGCAGACACACGCACGCACACACUCACACACACGCACACCCGGCGCUGCCCUCGGCUCCUCCGGCCGCGUUCGCCGCCUCCCGCUCCCGUCCGCACGCGUCCCCCGGCCGCCGCCAGGGCGAAGCGCGCUCCGCGGCGGCAGCACCGGCACCGGCGGCGGCGACCGCGCGAAGAGGCGGCGAGAGUUCGCGUGCACCGGCUGCUGCGUGCCCGCCCGGCGAGCGGUGCGCCCGGAGGAUGGCCGGCUGCGGGCUGUCGGAAGACGCGUUCUUCUCCUCCUUCUUUUACAACUACACCGCCUCCUGGGAGACCUCCUACAACCAGGUGAAGUAAUUAUGGACGAAAAAAAGGCCGAUAAAAUGGAACUAGUGUAACUUGCAGUUCAGGGUACUGUGUUCAGUAUUAAAACCUUUUCCUGAGACCAGAAUGCUGAUGAAGCUUGAGCCUUGUGGAGUCUGCUGUAGGAAAGUGGGUAGAGAGUGGAUUAUUGUACAUCAGUGUUCUCAGAGAACCAUAAUCUGCCUGAUGGGUAACAUGCAUGUUGUACUCUUGCGUUGCCCGCUUACAGCCAGUGGGGUCUUUCUGGUGAGAUGUGCUGUUCUAGUAGCAGUAGCAUUAGGAUAUCUUGUGCCCUUUCAGUAUAAAUAAAGGUUGUCCUAACAGCUGCUCA
rnacentral:lncRNA from 1 species